rnacentral:rRNA from 1 species
CUCGUAGACGGCGCAGCAAGUCUGAUGUGAAAGGCAGGGGCUUAACCCCUGGACUGCAUUGGAAACUGUUGAGCUUGAGUGCCGGAGGGGUAAGCGGAAUUCCUAGUGUAGCGGUGAAAUGCGUAGAUAUUAGGAGGAACACCAGUGGCGAAGGCGGCUUACUGGACGGUAACUGACGUUGAGGCUCGAAAGCGUGGGGAGCAAACA